GUAGCGGUGAAAUGCAUAGAUAUCACGCAGAACCCCGAUUGCGAAGGCAGCCUGCUAGGGUGCGACAGACGCUGAGGCACGAAAGCGUGGGUAUCGAACAGGAUUAGAUACCCUGGUAGUCCACGCAGUAAACGAUGAAUACUAACUGUUUGCGAUACAAUGUAAGCGGUACAGCGAAAGCGUUAAGUAUUCCACCUGGGGAGUACGCCGGCAACGGUGAAACUCAAAGGAAUUGACGGGGGCCCGCACAAGCGGAGGAACAUGUGGUUUAAUUCGAUGAUACGCGAGGAACCUUACCCGGGCUUGAACUCAGGAGGAAGUCGGCGGAGACGCCUUCGCCCCUUCGGGGGCCUCCUGGGAGGUGCUGCAUGGUUGUCGUCAGCUCGUGCCGUGAGGUGUCGGCUUAAGUGCCAUAACGAGCGCAACCCCUAUCGACAGUUACUAACGGGUCAAGCCGAGGACUCUGUCGAGACUGCCGGCGCAAGCCGCGAGGAAGGUGGGGAUGACGUCAAAUCAGCACGGCCCUUACGUCCGGGGCGACACACGUGUUACAAUGGCAGGUACAGAAGGCAGCCAGUCAGCAAUGACGCGCGAAUCCCGAAAACCUGUCUCAGUUCGGAUUGGAGUCUGCAACCCGACUCCAUGAAGCUGGAUUCGCUAGUAAUCGCGCAUCAGCCAUGGCGCGGUGAAUACGUUCCCGGGCCUUGUACACACCGCCCGUCAAGCCAUGGAAGCUGGGGGUGCCUGAAGUUCGUGACCGCAAGGAGCGACCUAGGGCAAAACCGGUGACUGGGGCUAAGUCGUAACAAGGUAGCCGUACCGGAAGGUGCGGCUG
rnacentral:rRNA from 1 species